UCCGUCAGUGAGAGGACAGUUUGUAUGUGGGGAGGACCCAUUAGAGCUAAUGGGAGCUACAGAAGUAAAUCCCCAGGCUCCGAUAGGGGAAAAGGUCCCCUGGGGUUUUCCACCAAGAACCCAUACACUGUGAUAGACACUUGGGAGCCAGAAAGUCUUUACUCAUUAGUACAGUCCCACUCGGGGAGUGAUUUGCAACCUCACCCCAAAUAUGAGAGAUUGAACUAGUCUAUCUUUGCCAUGACAUCUAUAGACUUCCAUGGUUUUUUUGUUUUUGUUUUUUGUUUUUUAAGACAAAUGCC
rnacentral:lncRNA from 1 species